rnacentral:rRNA from 1 species
GACGAACGCUGGCGGCGUGCGUAACACAUGCAAGUCGAACGAGAGAGUGAGAGAAGCUUGCUUUUCUUACGAUCGAGUGGCAAACGGGUGAGUAACGCGUAAACAACCUGCCCCGCAGAUGGGGACAACAGCUGGAAACGGCUGCUAAUACCGAAUACGGUCCUCUUAGCGCAUGGUAAGAGGAAGAAAGGGUGGCCUCUGGAACAAGCUACCGCUGUGGGAGGGGUUUGCGUCUGAUUAGCUGGUUGGAGGGGUAACGGCCCACCAAGGCGACGAUCAGUAGCCGGUCUGAGAGGAUGAACGGCCACAUUGGAACUGAGACACGGUCCAGACUCCUACGGGAGGCAGCAGUGGGGAAUCUUCCGCAAUGGGCGAAAGCCUGACGGAGCAACGCCGCGUGAGUGAAGACGGCCUUCGGGUUGUAAAGCUCUGUUAUAGGGGACGAACGGCCGGGUAGCGAAUAGGUACCCGGCAUGACGGUAACCGUAAGAGAAAGCCACGGCUAACUACA